CACAGUUUUCCAUAUCUGUCACGUUCAUCCUAGGGAGCCUAUUCCUUCUGCUUCAGCUCCCUAUCCCGCCACAAGCUCAGACCUUGACCCUUUAAGCCGUCUGAGCUCCGCCACCCCGAAGAAAUAGCGCCUUGGUUAUUCCGUCUUGUCAACCCAGGUUCAGCAGGUCCCAUCCCACUGCCGAAAGAUGAAUGCCAUCCGAGCGGUAGUACCCCGGCAACCC